rnacentral:rRNA from 1 species
UACGAAGGGGGCUAGCGUUGUUCGGAAUUACUGGGCGUAAAGGGCGCGUAGGCGGCGUGUCAAGUCAGGCGUGAAAGCCCCGGGCUCAACCUGGGAACCGCGCUUGAGACUGGCAUGCUCGAGUUCGGGAGAGGAUGGUGGAAUUCCCAGUGUAGAGGUGAAAUUCGUAGAUAUUGGGAAGAACACCGAUGGCGAAGGCAGCCAGCUGGACCGACACUGACGCUGAGGCGCGAAAGCGUGGGGAGCAAACAGG